GGGGAUUUGGCUCAGUGGCAGAGCACUUGCCUAGGAAGCACAAGGCCCUGGGUUCGGUCCCCAGCUCCG
rfam:Rattus norvegicus chromosome X, whole genome shotgun sequence.